rnacentral:lncRNA from 1 species
AUAGGUUCAUAUAUUUCAAGUUGUGAUGUUCAUGGAUCAUGACUUCAUGAGUACACAACAAUCAAUAGCGGUAAAAUGUGCCGAACCAUAGCAAUAUAGCAUCAGUAUCUUAAAUUCGAGCCAUGAAUCAAUUUGAUUAUUUGAUUCGUUUGGAACUAAGUUAGCUCUUAGAUCUUUACGAAGAAUUGAUUUUUUGGGCGUUACAACUUUUCUUUGUGAUUUCGUUAUACAUUAAACCAUUUCAAGAGCUUCCAUGCACCUAUACCACCC